AGCCUUCUGUAUCCGUGCUGAGAUUUCAACACACACCAGAAAACAAGGGCUGAUGAGACUCUCAGGAUAAGUGAAGCG
rnacentral:pre_miRNA from 1 species